rnacentral:rRNA from 1 species
AGAUGGCGACCGGCGCACGGGUGAGUAACACGUAUCCAACCUGCCGAUAACUCGGGGAUAGCCUUUCGAAAGAAAGAUUAAUACCCGAUGGCAUAAUUAGACCGCAUGGUCUUAUUAUUAAAGAAUUUCGGUUAUCGCUGGGGAUGCGUUCCAUUAGGCAGUUGGUGAGGUAACGGCUCACCAAACCUUCGAUGGAUAGGGGUUCUGAGAGGAAGGUCCCCCACAUUGGAACUGAGACACGGUCCAA